CUGCCGGUGAUAAACCGGAGGAAGGUGGGGAUGACGUCAAGUCAUCAUGGCCCUUACGAGUAGGGCUACACACGUGCUACAAUGGCAGAUACAAAGAGAAGCGACCUCGCGAGAGCAAGCGGAACUCAUAAAGUCUGUCGUAGUCCGGAUUGGAGUCUGCAACUCGACUCCAUGAAGUCGGAAUCGCUAGUAAUCGUAGAUCAGAAUGCUACGGUGAAUACGUUCCCGGGCCUUGUACACACCGCCCGUCACACCAUGGGAGUGGGUUGCAAAAGAAGUAGGUAGCUUAACCUUCGGGAGGGCGCUUACCACUUUGUGAUUCAUGACUGGGGUGAAGUCGUAACAAGGUAACCGUAGGGGAACCUGCGGUUGGAUCACCUCCUUAC
rnacentral:rRNA from 1 species